CAGCCCUUGACAUCCCGGUCGCGGACUCCAGAGACGGAGUUCUUCAAUUCGGCUGGACCGGAGACAGGUGCUGCAUGGCUGUCGUCAGCUCGUGUCGUGAGAUGUUGGGUUAAGUCCCGCAACGAGCGCAACCCCCGUCCUUAGUUGCUACCAUUUAGUUGAGCACUCUAAGGAGACUGCCGGUGAUAAGCCGCGAGGAAGGUGGGGAUGACGUCAAGUCCUCAUGGCCCUUACGGGCUGGGCUACACACGUGCUACAAUGGCGGUGACAAUGGGACGCUAAGGGGCAACCCUUCGCAAAUCUCAAAAAGCCGUCUCAGUUCGGAUUGCACUCUGCAACUCGAGAGCAUGAAGUCGGAAUCGCUAGUAAUCGCGGAUCAGCAUGCCGCGGUGAAUA
rnacentral:rRNA from 1 species